CAAACGCACUCGCAGGUGGACUCGUGGAGAAUCCUGUUGGGCCCACAGAGAGCCAGCAGACCUGAGUCCAGCGCCUCUGGAAGCCACAUGGAAAGGAGGUGAUCUGAUGCAGCUCGUCUUAUGAUGGAGUGGAGCGGCCGCUUGGAGAGGCAUUCGCACGAAGUGUGGUUGACGAAGGAUACCAUGACGACGGAGCGAUCCAUCCUGGGCGGGGACAGUUCCAUCAACUGGCAGGAGGAAAGAUGAAGGCUGCCUGAUCCUUGGAAAAGCAUCAAAGAGAGAGAAAAAAGAGGGAAGAGCUUAUUCCAAAUCCUGUUUCCAAAUGGAGUUAAAAAAAGAAAGAAAAGAAAGGCGAAGCAGUUACCGACAACUGUAAAAUAAAUUAUGGGGAAGAUGGACAGACAGACAGACAGACAGACGAGAAAAGAAGGAGAGGGCCGACGACAAGGAAGGAGAAAGAGGUGUGUCUGGGAAACGCUCGAAUGAGAAAACAUCCGAUUUUUGGGCCAGUCACUGCCAGCCUUUUCAAGGAUUAAAGACGCACACCCCCGCACACACACACAUACAUACGCACGC